rnacentral:rRNA from 1 species
GAUGAACGCUGGCGGCGUGCCUAAUACAUGCAAGUCGAGCGAACAGACGAGGCGCUUGCUCCUCUGACGUUAGCGGCGGACGGGUGAGUAACACGUGGAUAACCUACCUAUAAGACUGGGAUAACUUCGGGAAACCGGAGCUAAUACCGGAUAAUAUAUUGAACCGCAUGGUUCACUAGUGAAAGACGGUUUUGCUGUCACUUAUAGAUGGCUCCGCGCCGCAUUAGCUAGUUGGUAAGGUAACGGCUUACCAAGGCAACGAUGCGUAGCCGACCUGAGAGGGUGAUCGGCCACACUGGAACUGAGACACGGUCCAGACUCCUACGGGAGGCAGCAGUAGGGAAUCUUCCGCAAUGGGCGAAAGCCUGACGGAGCAACGCCGCGUGAGUGAUGAAGGUCUUCGGAUCGUAAAACUCUGUUAUUAGGGAAGAACAAAUGUGUAAGUAACUAUGCACGUCUUGACGGUACCUAAUCAGAAAGCCACGGCUAACUACGUG